rnacentral:rRNA from 1 species
UACGUAGGGGGCGAGCGUUGUCCGGAGUUACUGGGCGUAAAGCGCACGCAGGCGGUCGACUAAGUUUGGAGUGACAGUUUUCGGCUCAACCGAGAAAGUGCUCUGAAAACUGGUUGACUUGAGGGCUUCAGAGGGACACGGAAUUCCGGGUGGAGUGGUGAAAUGCGUAGAGAUCCGGAGGAACACCGAAGGCGAAGGCAGUGUCCUGGGGAGUACCUGACGCUCAGGUGCGAAAGCCAGGGGAGCGAACGGG